CCUUAGUGAUGAGGAUUUUUAGGCUGCUUAAUUUUAAAAUGGCUUAUGAUGAGGAUUUUUAGGCUGGUUAGUUUUAAAACUACAGAUGAGAUUCAGGCUCCAAGGAGUGGAAUUUGUUUGCCUCUUUGUUGGGAAACAUUUACAUUUCUAAGGGAAACCUCUAUCUGUGAAGAUGCCUCCCUCUCUGUGCCAGGAAGAGGGGGGGAUGGUCUUAUCUCUAGAGGCUCUUGGUCAAUGCCAGAGGCAAGAACUUAAGUUGGUUACUGUCUGGCAACCUCAUGUGACUGACCCUCCCCCCCACAAAUCCUCCUUUGUCUUUAGCUGAGGAUAAAAUUCAAGCGGUGACUUCUGCCAUUUACUCAAUCCGGUUUGAUUCUUAUCUACCAUUUUAACUUUUUUACAUAUUCUUUGUCUUGUAAAGAGAUGACUCACAUACCUAUGCCUUAAAUUUAGUCCUAACCCUCAAGUCGGGGCAGCAGCAGGAGCUCUGACUGCCCGUGGGUCCUGUCCCCACGCACCAGCUCUGCCUGCCCAUGGGUCCUGUCCCCAUGCCAGCGGGGGCAGCAGCAGCAGCUCUGCCUGCCCAUGGGCUCUGUCCCCGUACCAGCGGGGGCAGCAGAAGCUCUGACUGCCCAUGGGUCCUGUCCCCAUGCUAUUCCACACUAUUCUCUAAAUAAAAGAGCACUACUGCCAGAUCUUGAGAGUCUAAGAAAUCUUUCUUUCGACUCCUCGGCUCACCGACCCCGCAUCACUUAGCAUGGUGCUUCUUUCUUGUUUCUCAGUCUCCCUUAGAGUCUUAGCUCCUGCAAAUUUCUCAAGAGCACCUUGAAAUUCAGAGAUGCCAAUUUCUAGUCCUUUAAGGCAUCAUACUGUUUACUUCUCUGUGAAGGUAUGUGCCAUCCUUUCUGCAUGGCAUGCUUUCUUCUUAUCCUUCCCAUCUCUGCACAACUUAUUUUCUUAUCAGGUGGAGUAUAUUCUACUCCUACUCAUCAUUAAAGAUUCAACUCUGGAGCAAACCUUUUCAAUAGUUUUCCUAACACUCCUGAAAUCUCCCUCUCUGUCUCAAUUCCAUCCGCUGGUUUCCAUUGCAUUCAGUGUUCACCUUUAACUGUACAUUACCUUAGUGUGGUGUAAUUUCGUCUUAACUGUGACACGCUUGAGGGAAAGUACUUUGUAUCCCCAGCACCUGGAAUAGUACCUGGCACAAACAUGGCAUUCAGAAAGACCUGUGAAAUGAACGACCAUGUUCAAUGCUCCCACGGGAAAUGGAAGAAAUAAGAGGGAAGAAGAACAGAAGAUGGAAAGCGACUUGUGACUUGUGAACCUGUGAACAGAGGAAGGAAAAGGAAAGAAUGAA
rnacentral:lncRNA from 1 species